rnacentral:rRNA from 1 species
UACGUAGGGGGCAAGCGUUGUCCGGAUUUAUUGGGCGUAAAGAGCGUGUAGGCGGUCUGGUAGGUCCGUUGUGAAAACUCGAGGCUCAACCUCGAGACGCCGAUGGAAACCAUGUGGCUAGAGUCCGGAAGAGGAGAGUGGAAUUCCUGGUGUAGCGGUGAAAUGCGCAGAUAUCAGGAAGAACACCCGUGGCUAAGGCGGCUCUCUAGUACGGUACUGACGCUGAGACGCGAAAGCGUGGGGAGCGAACAGG